rnacentral:rRNA from 1 species
GACGAACGCUGGCGGCGUGCUUAACACAUGCAAGUCGAACGGAAAGGCCCUGCUUCUGUGGGGUUCUCGAGUGGCGAACGGGUGAGUAACACGUGAGUAACCUGCCCUUGACUUUGGGAUAACUUCAGGAAACUGGGGCAAAUACCGGAUAGGAGCUCCUGCUGCAUGGUGGGGGUUGGAAAGUUUCGGCGGUUGGGGAUGGACUCGCGGCUUAUCAUCUUGUUGGUGGGGUAGUGGCUUACCAAGGCUUUGACGGGUAGCCGGCCUGGGAGGGUGACCGGCGACCUUGGGCCUGAGAUACGGCGCAGAGUGCUACGGGGGGCAGCAGUGGGGAAUAUUGUGCAGUGGGGGGACGCGUGAUGCAGCAACGCCGCGUGCGGGAUGUAGGCCUUGCGGUUGUAAACCGCUUUCGCCUGUGACGAAGCGUGAGUGACGGUAAUGGGUAAAGAAGCACCGGCUAACUACGUG